rnacentral:rRNA from 1 species
GACGAACCGAGCGAACGUUGUUCGGAAUCACUGGGCUUAAAGGGCGCGUAGGCGGGUCAGCAAGUCCGGGGUGAAAUCUUUCGGCUUAACCGGAAAAGUGCCUUGGAUACUGCUGGUCUCGAGGGAGGUAGGGGUCUGUGGAACUUCGGGUGGAGCGGUGAAAUGCGUUGAUAUCCGAAGGAACGCCGGUGGCGAAAGCGACGGACUGGAUCUCUUCUGACGCUGAGGCGCGAAAGCCAGGGGAGCAAACGGG